CUGUAUUAAGGCAGGAGCCUGUCGCCAGGGUGUCCUUCCUCUCAGAGACGGGUGGGGGCACGGCCAAGUGUUCACUAGAGACCCAUGGCGUCCUACUCCACGAACACCUGUCUCAACUUCUCAUUCCCCUUCAGACUUUACCCCCAGGCAACUCCUUCCACAAGGGUCCCUCACCAGUUAAGCUUCACUCUCCAGGGCCCCAGUAAGUGGUCCAGUGACUGCUAUGUUCUCCCCCCAGUCCUUGGUCCCCUAGACAGAUGCCCUAUUGCAUCGGACUCCUGCACUGAGUAUCUGCACGGCUGUGGCCAUCUGCUUGACCUCUCUGGCCUGCGGCUACGCAGCUGAACACAGCAUGAAGAUAGCAGCACCGAUGGCAAAGGGUGAGGGAGGUGACAGGCACAAUGAGAUCAGCCUUGCGGAAAUGGAGUGCCCAUCACAAUUAGCCCUUGCUUCACUUCCCUACAGUGCUGCUCACACCAUAGUUCUUUUCUUUUCUUUCAUUUUGGUUCUCUGAGAUGGGGUCUCUAUGUAUUCCACGCUGACCUUGAACUCACUAUGUAGCCCAGGCUGGCUUCAAACUCAUGGUGAUCCUCCUGCCUCAGCCUCCAGAAUGCUGGUAUUAUAAUUGUGCACAACCACUCCAAGCUUCACACCACAGUUCUUGUCUCUCUCUAGUUACUGCGAUGUUCACAUCUUUUUCUCUCCUUCUUGAAGGAGCUUCUCUGGCGAAUUCCUCACUUUCUCUCCUCUAGGUUCCUCCAGCACCUCGGGAAGCUGUGAUCACUGCAAACCUACUGUGUGCUGGCUCUGUGUGGGGAGAGCUGCUCCCUGCCCCAGCCAGUGCCAGUGCUUCGGGCUCAUUUCUCAGCUAAGUUCUGGAAGGACAGGCACUGCCUCUGUCAUCUCUGUGUCAUCACAGAGGUGCCUAACAGAUGUUUGUGACCUAACAAAGACCAAGUGGGGCCAGCUGGCCUGAGGAGGCUGUGAACCUGUUGUGUGCGUGGGUGGGAGGGGUUGACCGCCCCUCAGACCUGCCUGGUGCCUGGAGCCUGCUCUGCAGAUGUGAACACCUGGAAGCUGACACUCUGUCCAUGCAGAUCGGCUGGUGCACCUGGGAACGGAGCUCCUCCUGAGCUCCCUCUCAGACCUGGUGUCUGUCCAGGACCUUGCAGCGCCAACAGCCACCCACCCAGUGACUGCACAGGGAAGUUCACAGGCUGCUUGACACAAGCAAACAACGCCGAGAGGGUCUGUCUUGCUUUGCGGAAGAAAAAACUCCAAACCAUCAGUAAAUAUAUUAAAGAGGCUGAGCAGGAAUUCUUGCCAGAUGUGAUUAACAAGGAUAUGCACUUGACCGUGACAGUACAUGGAUGCUUCUUGAUCAUGACACAUGGUCAAGCAGAGCAGAAGGGAGGAAGGAGAAUGGCCCAAGAGGACAAAGCCAGAUUUACAUGGUGUUUCCAAGGUCCCCUACAGAGCCUUGAAGUCCAGCUUGAGGACCCCUGGCUUCCAGUUUCUGGGUCCUGGAUUAGGGAGUCUCCAUCUUUCAAUCUCACAGAAUAUACCCCACUUUCUCCUACUGUCACCCAACUUGGGGAUCGAUACAGGCCUAUUUGUCGAGUAAGACUAUUAAAGGGGAAAAGAU